rnacentral:rRNA from 1 species
CCUACGGGAGGCAGCAGUGGGGAAUCUUGCGCAAUGGGCGAAAGCCUGACGCAGCAACGCCGCGUGCGGGAAGAAGGCUUUCGGGCUGUAAACCGCUUUCAGCAGGAACGAAAAUGACGGUACCUGCAGAAGAAGGAGCGGCCAACUAUGUGCCAGCAGCCGCGGUGAUACAUAGGCUUCAAGCGUUGUCCGGAUUUAUUGGGCGUAAAGAGUUCGUAGGCGGUCAAGUAAGUCGGGUGUGAAAAUUCUGGGCUCAACCCAGAGACGCCACCCGAUACUGCUUAACUUGAGUUCGAUAGGGGAGUGGGGAAUUCCUAGUGUAGCGGUGAAAUGCGCAGAUAUUAGGAGGAACACCGGUGGCGAAGGCGCCACUCUGGAUCGAUACUGACGCUGAGGAACGAAAGCAUGGGUAGCAAACAGGAUUAGAUACCCUGGUAGUCCAUGCCGUAAACGGUGGGCACUAGGUGUGGGUUUCCUAUUAACGAAAUCCGCGCCGUCGCUAACGCAUUAAGUNCCCCGCCUGGGGAGGUACGGUCGCGAGACUAAACUACAAGAAGUAGACGCGNGAGACGUGCGACGACGACGACGAGGGAGAGG